rnacentral:rRNA from 1 species
GAUGAACGCUGGCGGCAGGCUUAACACAUGCAAGUCGAGCGGAGUGAUGGUGCUUGCACUAUCACUUAGCGGCGGACGGGUGAGUAAUGCUUAGGAAUCUGCCUAUUAGUGGGGGACAACAUCUCGAAAGGGAUGCUAAUACCGCAUACGUCUACGGGAGAAAGCAGGGGAUCACUUGUGACCUUGCGCUAAUAGAUGAGCUAAGUCGGAUUAGNUAGUUGGUGGGGUAAAGGCCUACCAAGGCGACGAUCUGUAGCGGGUCUGAGAGGAUGAUCCGCCACACUGGGACUGAGACACGGCCCAGACUCCUACGGGAGGCAGCAGUGGGGAAUAUUGGACAAUGGGGGGAACCCUGAUCCAGCCAUGCCGCGUGUGUGAAGAAGGCCUUAUGGUUGUAAAGCACUUUAAGCGAGGAGGAGGCUUACCUAGUUAAUACCUGGGAUAAGUGGACGUUACUCGCAGAAUAAGCACCGGCUAACUCUGUGCCAGCAGCCGCGGUAAUACAGAGGGUGCAAGCGUUAAUCGGAUUUACUGGGCGUAAAGCGCGCGUAGGCGGCCAAUUAAGUCAAAUGUGAAAUCCCCGAGCUUAACUUGGGAAUUGCAUUCGAUACUGGUUGGCUAGAGUGUGGGAGAGGAUGGUAGAAUUCCAGGUGUAGCGGUGAAAUGCGUAGAGAUCUGGAGGAAUACCGAUGGCGAAGGCAGCCAUCUGGCCUAACACUGACGCUGAGGUGCGAAAGCAUGGGGAGCAAACAGGAUUAGAUACCCUGGUAGUCCAUGCCGUAAACGAUGUCUACUAGCCGUUGGGGCCUUUGAGGCUUUAGUGGCGCAGCUAACGCGAUAAGUAGACCGCCUGGGGAGUACGGUCGCAAGACUAAAACUCAAAUGAAUUGACGGGGGCCCGCACAAGCGGUGGAGCAUGUGGUUUAAUUCGAUGCAACGCGAAGAACCUUACCUGGCCUUGACAUAGUAGAAACUUUCCAGAGAUGGAUUGGUGCCUUCGGGAAUCUACAUACAGGUGCU